rnacentral:siRNA from 1 species
UUACAACGAGGACUGCGAUAGG